UACGAAGGGGGCUAGCGUUGCUCGGAAUCAUUGGGCGUAAAGGGUGCGUAGGUGGCGCCGUAAGUGGGGUGUGAAAUUUCGGAGCUUAACUCCGAAACUGCAUUCCAUACUGCGGUGCUUGAGGACUGGAGAGGAGACUGGAAUUUACGGUGUAGCAGUGAAAUGCGUAGAGAUCGUAAGGAAGACCAGUGGCGAAGGCGGGUCUCUGGACAGUUCCUGACACUGAGGCACGAAGGCCAGGGGAGCAAACGGG
rnacentral:rRNA from 1 species